UACGAAGGGGGCUAGCGUUGCUCGGAAUUACUGGGCGUAAAGCGCACGUAGGCGGUUUCUUAAGUCGGGGGUGAAAUCCUGGAGCUCAACUCCAGAACUGCCUUCGAUACUGGGAAACUUGAGUUCGGGAGAGGUGAGUGGAACUGCGAGUGUAGAGGUGAAAUUCGUAGAUAUUCGCAAGAACACCAGUGGCGAAGGCGGCUCACUGGCCCGAUACUGACGCUGAGGUGCGAAAGCGUGGGGAGCAAACAGG
rnacentral:rRNA from 1 species